GACGAACGCUGGCGGCGUGCCUAACACAUGCAAGUCGAGCGAAUGAAGUUCCUUCGGGAACGGAUUUAGCGGCGGACGGGUGAGUAACACGUGGGCAACCUGCCUCAUAGAGGGGAAUAGCCUUCCGAAAGGGAGAUUAAUACCGCAUAAGAUUGUAGUACCGCAUGGUACAGCGAUUAAAGGAGCAAUCCGCUAUGAGAUGGGCCCGCGGCGCAUUAGCUAGUUGGUGAGGUAACGGCUCACCAAGGCGACGAUGCGUAGCCGACCUGAGAGGGUGAUCGGCCACAUUGGGACUGAGACACGGCCCAGACUCCUACGGGAGGCAGCAGUGGGGAAUAUUGCACAAUGGGGGAAACCCUGAUGCAGCAACGCCGCGUGAGUGAUGACGGUCUUCGGGUUGUAAAGCUCUGUCUUCAGGGACGAUAAUGACGGUACCUGAGGAGGAAGCCACGGCUAACUACGUGCCAGCCGCCGCCGUAAUAC
rnacentral:rRNA from 1 species